rnacentral:rRNA from 1 species
UAGAUGAAUUUGGUGCUUGCACCAGAUGAAACUAGAUACAAGCGAGCGGCGGACGGGUGAGUAACACGUGGGUAACCUGCCCAAGAGACUGGGAUAACACCUGGAAACAGAUGCUAAUACCGGAUAACAACACUAGACGCAUGUCUAGAGUUUAAAAGAUGGUUCUGCUAUCACUCUUGGAUGGACCUGCGGUGCAUUAGCUAGUUGGUAAGGUAACGGCUUACCAAGGCAAUGAUGCGUAGCCGAGUUGAGAGACUGAUCGGCCACAUUGGGACUGAGACACGGCCCAAACUCCUACGGGAGGCAGCAGUAGGGAAUCUUCCACAAUGGACGCAAGUCUGAUGGAGCAACGCCGCGUGAGUGAAGAAGGGUUUCGGCUCGUAAAGCUCUGUUGGUAGUGAAGAAAGAUAGAGGUAGUAACUGGCCUUUAUUUGACGGUAAUUACUUAGAAAGUCACGGCUAACUACGUGCCAGCAGCCGCGGUAAUACGUAGGUGGCAAGCGUUGUCCGGAUUUAUUGGGCGUAAAGCGAGUGCAGGCGGUUCAAUAAGUCUGAUGUGAAAGCCUUCGGCUCAACCGGAGAAUUGCAUCAGAAACUGUUGAACUUGAGUGCAGAAGAGGAGAGUGGAACUCCAUGUGUAGCGGUGGAAUGCGUAGAUAUAUGGAAGA